AUUGAACGCUGGCGGCAGGCCUAACACAUGCAAGUCGAACGGUAACAGGAAGCAGCUUGCUGCUUCGCUGACGAGUGGCGGACGGGUGAGUGAUGUCUGGGAAACUGCCUGAUGGAGGGGGAUAACUACUGGAAACGGUAGCUAAUACCGCAUAACGUCGCAAGACCAAAGAGGGGGACCUUAGGGCCUCUUGCCAUCGGAUGUGCCCAGAUGGGAUUAGCUAGUAGGUGGGGUAACGGCUCACCUAGGCGACGAUCCCUAGCUGGUCUGAGAGGAUGACCAGCCACACUGGAACUGAGACACGGUCCAGACUCCUACGGGAGGCAGCAGUGGGGAAUAUUGCACAAUGGGCGCAAGCCUGAUGCAGCCAUGCCGCGUGUAUGAAGAAGGCCUUCGGGUUGUAAAGUACUUUCAGCGGGGAGGAAGGGAGUAAAGUUAAUACCUUUGCUCAUUGACGUUACCCGCAGAAGAAGCACCGGCUAACUCCGUG
rnacentral:rRNA from 1 species